rnacentral:lncRNA from 1 species
GGCCAUUAAAAUUCAAUCUUGAUCUGUGUUUUGUGGUGAUGAGAAUUGUGAAUAAGUUUCAUAAUAUUUGGUCUAGGCAAACUCAAGUUAGAGAACGAAAACCAUUUUUUGGACGCAUGUACAGACGGACAAGGGUAAAACUUAAGGCCCCCUAAGCUACGACGGGGCAUAAAAAGGCAACAAAUAUCAAAUGGUAGCUUCCUUAUUUUCAAUUGUAUUUAUAUUUCCAAUCAUGUUUUUAGAUUUUUCUGCAG